rnacentral:rRNA from 1 species
UACAGAGGGUGCAAACGUUGCUCGGAAUCACUGGGCGUAAAGGGCGUGUAGGCGGGAAUGUAAGUCGGGCGUGAAAUCCCUAGGCUCAACCUAGGAACUGCACUCGAAACUGCGUUUCUUGAGUAUCGGAGAGGAAAGCGGAAUUCCUGGUGUAGAGGUGAAAUUCGUAGAUAUCUGGAGGAACACCGGUGGCGAAGGCGGCUUUCUGGACGGUGACUGACGCUGAGACGCGAAAGCGUGGGGAGCAAACAGG